rnacentral:rRNA from 1 species
GACGAACGCUGGCGGCGUGCCUAAUACAUGCAAGUAGAACGCUGAAGGAGGAGCUUGCUUCUCUGGAUGAGUUGCGAACGGGUGAGUAACGCGUAGGUAACCUGCCUGGUAGCGGGGGAUAACUAUUGGAAACGAUAGCUAAUACCGCAUAAUAGUAGAUGUUGCAUGACAUUUGCUUAAAAGGUGCAAUUGCAUCACUACCAGAUGGACCUGCGUUGUAUUAGCUAGUUGGUGAGGUAACGGCUCACCGAGGCAACGAUACAUAGCCGACCUGAGAGGGUGAUCGGCCACACUGGGACUGAGACACGGCCCAGACUCCUACGGGAGGCAGCAGUAGGGAAUCUUCGGCAAUGGACGGAAGUCUGACCGAGCAACGCCGCGUGAGUGAAGAAGGUUUUCGGAUCGUAAAGCUCUGUUGUAAGAGAAGAACGAGUGUGAGAGUGGAAAGUUCACACUGUGACGGUAUCUUACCAGAAAGGGACGGCUAACUACGUGCCAGCAGCCGCGGUAAUACGUAGGUCCCGAGCGUUGUCCGGAUUUAUUGGGCGUAAAGCGAGCGCAGGCGGUUAGAUAAGUCUGAAGUUAAAGGCUGUGGCUUAACCAUAGUACGCUUUGGAAACUGUUUAACUUGAGUGCAAGAGGGGAGAGUGGAAUUCCAUGUGUAGCGGUGAAAUGCGUAGAUAUAUGGAGGAACACCGGUGGCGAAAGCGGCUCUCUGGCUUGUAACUGACGCUGAGGCUCGAAAGCGUGGGGAGCAAACAGG